rnacentral:rRNA from 1 species
GACGGAAGGUGCAAGCGUUGCUCGGAAUUACUGGGCGUAAAGGGCGCGUAGGCGGCCUGCUAAGUCGAACGUGAAAUCCCUGGGCUCAACCCAGGAACUGCGUCCGAUACUGGUUGGCUUGAAUCCGGGAGAGGGAUGUGGAAUUCCAGGUGUAGCGGUGAAAUGCGUAGAUAUCUGGAGGAACACCGGUGGCGAAGGCGACAUCCUGGACCGGUAUUGACGCUGAGGCGCGAAAGCCAGGGGAGCAAACGGG